UACGUAGGGGGCAAGCGUUGUCCGGAAUCAUUGGGCGUAAAGAGCGUGUAGGCGGCUCGGUAAGUCCGCUGUGAAAGUCCAGGGCUCAACCCUGGAAUGCCGGUGGAAACUGUCGAGCUAGAGUCCGGAAGAGGCGAGUGGAAUUCCUGGUGUAGCGGUGAAAUGCGCAGAUAUCAGGAGGAACACCAAUGGCGAAGGCAGCUCGCUGGGACGGUACUGAGCUGAGACGCGAAAGCGUGGGGAGCAAACAGG
rnacentral:rRNA from 1 species